rnacentral:rRNA from 1 species
CACGUAGGGCGCGAGCGUUGUCCGGAAUUAUUGGGCGUAAAGAGCUCGUAGGCGGCCUGUUGCGUCCGCUGUGAAAGCCCGGGGCUUAACCCCGGGUCGGCAGUGGGUACGGGCAGACUAGAGUGAUGUAGGGGAGACUGGAAUUCCUGGUGUAGCGGUGAAAUGCGCAGAUAUCAGGAGGAACACCGAUGGCGAAGGCAGGUCUCUGGGCAUUAACUGACGCUGAGGAGCGAAAGCAUGGGGAGCGAACAGG